ensembl:lncRNA
AUGAGGCACCAGCACUCUCAAAAAGUGUUUUACAGCAUCCCAAAAGUCCGGGUGGGCAGGAGCUGUCCUUCAGUGCUGGAUCCAGGGGAAGAGGAAGGAGAAAUCCCAGAGAAGGGGGGAGGAAGGAAAGCUGAGCAGGGGGAGAGGAGAGCGCGGCUCCCGGGGAUGGCACAGCCCAGCCCCGGCGCUCUUUGCUGCUGGGCUCCGUCUGUCCGGCUGAACGCGGCUCCUGGAAGAGCAAAGAUCGAGUUCCCGCAGGAGAGCACGUCACUGCUCCAUCGUUCCUGCCUGUGUGCAGAGUCCUGGGGCUGCCAACAACCUUGGGAACCACGGCUUUUGCAAAACAUUAACCAAAGCCCAGCGAAACACGUCAGCCUGUGUUUGCGGAUGAUGGUAAACAGACCCAGCUGUCACCUCUGGACUUGUCCCUCCUGCCUUCAUCCUCCUGAGGCAGUGAGGUCCUGCCCCUUGGUGCCAGGGGAUGGAGUUCUGCAGGUUCACGUGCUGCCUUUUGGAGCUCCAAAUGAUGUUUGAUUUUGUCCCUCUGGCAGUCAUCUGGGCCCCAGAGCACACCAGAAACCCUCUGCUCCCCUCCUGCACAGACCCCCCCAAGCUCAGGGCUGGCCCAGGGGCCUGCUGGAGCCCAGAGCUGGGAUCCAGGGCUGAUAGGUGUGAGCACACAGCUGAAAAUGUUUUCCAUUUGUUUUCCACACUGAUUCCUUGCCCCUCACCUGGAGGACACAGCAGCCCUGCCAGCCCAGCUCUGCAGGGAGGUGCUUCCCAGCACUUGGAUGCAUUUGUUCCACGCCCAAGGUGUGUGUGGAUUUAGCCAGAGCACAGCUGUAGGUGCAGGCAGCACCUCCCCGUGCGUUUUUUGCCACCCAUUUCUUCUCCAGUCUUGGUAAGAAACCCUCUGUAGCCACAGCUGGAGCAGGAUCCCAGCUCCCAGGCUGGAGCUUUGCCCAGGGCUCGAGUGUUAUCAAUUCUCAUGGACACUUUCCCCCCCACUUCUCAUUUCCUUUAAAGCUUUAAACAGAAGAGUUGUUCUCUUCUGGGAGAAGGGAGGAAUAUCCAGGCCCCAGCUCAAACUCCUCUGGAUGGUUUUACUCUUUUGGGCUGUAAAAAAAAAAAAAAAACCUGAACAGAGACUCCUCCUCGUGAAGAGCCAAAAAAACAAGGAGGCAAAGAAUAAAAUGUCCCUUUUUUCCUCUUGAAACA